rnacentral:rRNA from 1 species
CUUUCAACAACGGAUCUCUUGGUUCUCGCAUCGAUGAAGAACGCAGCGAAUUGCGAUAAGUAAUGUGAAUUGCAGAAUUCAGUGAAUCAUCGAAUCUUUGAACGCACAUUGCGCCCCCUGGUAUUCUGGGGGGCAUGCCUGUUUGAGCGUUUCAUG